ACAGGAAAAUGCAGAAGUGUGACAAGUGCUGUGAAGUAGAGCUACAGGGGAACCAAAGACCUGGAUGUCCAGGAGAUGGAGACCUGCUCUGAAGGCACGGAGGCUAAUGAGGACCAAAGGCACAAUGAUGCAGAGGCAGCUCUCUUCCUGUGGAAGGGCCUUAAGGUUGCCACUACGAGAUGGCGAGAGAAUUUUCUCAAGGCUUUCCUAUGCAUGGAGAGAACUAAGAACCUGCCUUCACUGUGAAUUUCUAUGGAGUGAAGUUCUUCUCCAACUCAAACUGCACAAGAGAUUUUCAAUUCCUUUCUCCUGGAAGCCCCCUGGCAGGCCCAAUCUGCAUGACAUGUAGUGUCGCGGUGGGAAACAGGCAGAUGUGAUCCAGAGCAUGUUUGACUCGCUAGAACAUCUUUCCAUGGUGUAAGGGCUAAUGAGCUCAUCUUUGGGUCUGCCAACAAAAGAGGCCCACGGAGACAUCCAAGUCAGCUGCAAUCCACUAGUCACAGAGGAGGAAGAUGCCAGACACCAGCAUGGCCUAUGAACGCCUGCCAGGCAGCCACAGGAAAAGGAAACCAGCUAACGCUGGGAAAGCAGCCUUACUUCUUUGGUCCAUCUAACCACAAGCUCAUCUCACAAGUAAGCUCUCAAUGGAAGUAACAAGAAAAAGACUUCUAAAGUUUAUAUUCAUGACAUCAUAAUCUGUAUGAUUAUGUGAAUCUGUAAGAUUUGUCUUAGGGCUAUACUUUUAAUUUUUCAUCAGGUAUUUUUUGAAUGUCUACUAUGGGCCAGUCCCUAUGCUAGGUGCAGGGGAUAGAUCAGUCAAAAAACCCUGCCCACAUGUGGGUCUAAGACUGAAACAGCAUCCAAAUUUACACUAGCUUCCUCCUAUUUACCAACCUGAGCCCCCUUCACCUCUCUGUCCCCUUGUCUAUUCAGGAGUUAGCCAAUGAGGCUUCAUCUUGGGUCCACCAAGUGCCUGGUACUGUGCUGGCAGCUCAGGUGUUCAUUUUAAGAUAGUUCAUAGUUACCUAGGAUGGUGACGUACACUUUCUAAGUGUGUGAGUGACCAUUAUGGCUGCUGUGCUUUCCAAUUCACCCAGCGUUAGUGAAUAGCUCUUAAAAGGAUGAAACUAAUGAUUACCUGCUGAUGCUGGAUAAAGGGAGUAAGAGAUGGCAUUAACCCCCACCAAAACCACAGCACCGCCAUAAUACCUGGCCUCUUAACAGAACUUCAUAAUUUUCAAAAUGCCUUUUCAAUUAUUGGUUGCUUAGAGCUCUGAUGGACCUUCCCAAUAAAAACUGAAAGCCAACCAGAAAUCCAGAUGAAUUUCAAAAUACGUGUUUUGGAUGCUAUGUGUGAUGCCAUCUAGUUGGGCAUGGGAAAUCUACCAAUGAACAAGAGAGUCAGGACUCCUGUCCUCAGGGAUAUGGAAAGGAAGACACAGAAUGCUGACACAGCUACUGGUCUUGGAAGGCUCAGGAAGCUUUUCUGGGGAAGCCAAGUCUGUGUUUGGCCCUGACAUAGGACCUCAGUGAAUAGAAGAGGUGGGGAGAAGAUUUCCCGCUGCUGUGGUGAAUGUUAGUUUCCUAUUGGCCAUAUGACAGGCUGAACAUCUGUUCCAUUGUCUUUGGGGACAGUGACAGAUGUUGGAAAGAGCAGGUAAUUCUGCAUAUUACAUUAUAACCCAUUAAGGCAGCUGGUUAGAUGAAAGAGUCUGGCUUUAUAAUCUCUUUCUGUCCAUGAAGUAACCACGUAGUCACCUUUCAGCUGGAACCCCAUUCUAGGGCUCAACUGCUUGGUAGCCAGUGACUGUUUUUGUUCCAUAAUUUUACUUUUAUUUUUUGAUUAUGAACACAGUAAAUGAUCAUUGUUUUUAUGAGGUGAGGGAAAGUAGAAAAAUGGAAAGAAGAACAAAGAAAUAAACAGUAAUGUUAUAAUCCACAGACUAUCAUACUUUUCAUUUGGGAAUAUUUCUAUUCAUCAUUUUCCACUGAUACAGAAAGUCAUUCCUUCACAUCAAUAACUGGGCUCCUUAUGGGUGGGUAGGGUGAGGAGAAGAAGGAGGUCACAUGAUGGUAGAUUCAAGUGCUUAUCAAGGCACUAAAAUUACUGGAGAGUUUUGGUUGGUUUUCAGUUUCUAGGGAUAGUCCAUGCUAUGAAAGUUUGUAAGCACCAUGAAAAUCUGAGCUAUGUGUAAAUAUAUCAUUAUUAUUUCUCACAAUGACUUUCGAGGUAGCAAUAUUUUCUCAUUCUUGCUUUACAAAGGAAUAAAUUGAAUAACAGAGACUCAAUAAGUCAGUGGGUCAUAGGUCCAGGCACCUUUCUGUGAAGGGUUCCACUUACCUCCCCUCACUGACUCCGGGUCCCAGGAUGGUGACCAGUUCAGGAGCCACUCCUUAAGAAUGCGAUUUAAUUAAACAGAAAUAAACAGAAGUGGUUUAAUUAAAUUUGAUUGAGACUUUAUAAGGAGAGUGGGUGCUAUUGACUAUAUGACCUUUGUUCUGUUAGCCA